UACGUAGGGCGCAAGCGUUGUCCGGAAUUAUUGGGCGUAAAGGGCUCGUAGGCGGUUUGUCGCGUUGUUCGUGAAAACUCACAGCUCAACUGUGGGCGUGCGGGCGAUACGGGCAGACUAGAGUCCGGCAGGGGAGACUGGAAUUCCUGGUGUAGCGGUGAAAUGCGCAGAUAUCAGGAGGAACACCGGUGGCGAAGGCGGGUCUCUGGGCCGGAACUGACGCUGAGGAGCGAAAGCGUGGGGAGCGAACAGG
rnacentral:rRNA from 1 species